AUGUCCACCGGUUCGCCUGCUCA
rnacentral:siRNA from 1 species